rnacentral:tRNA from 1 species
ACCUGGCUGGCUUCGUUGGUAGAGCAUGUGACUCCUGAUCUCAGGCUCAUGAGUUCAAGCCCCAUGUUGGGCA